GAUGAACGCUGGCGGCGUGCCUAAUACAUGCCAGUCGAGCGAACGGACGAGAAGCUUGCUUCUCUGAUGUUAGCGGCGGACGGGUGAGUAACACGUGGAUAACCUACCUAUAAGACUGGGAUAACUUCGGGAAACCGGAGCUAAUACCGGAUAAUAUUUUGAACCGCAUGGUUCAAAAGUGAAAGACGGACUUGCUGUCACUUAUAGAUGGAUCCGCGCUGCAUUAGCUAGUUGGUAAGGUAACGGCUUACCAAGGCAACGAUGCAUAGCCGACCUGAGAGGGUGAUCGGCCACACUGGAACUGAGACACGGUCCAGACUCCUACGGGAGGCAGCAGUAGGGAAUCUUCCGCAAUGGGCGAAAGCCUGACGGAGCAACGCCGCGUGAGUGAUGAAGGUCUUCGGAUCGUAAAACUCUGUUAUUAGGGAAGAACAUAUGUGUAAGUAACUGUGCACAUCUUGACGGUACCUAAUCAGAAAGCCACGGCUAACUACGUG
rnacentral:rRNA from 1 species